rnacentral:lncRNA from 1 species
GUUGAUUUAGUAGGUAAGGUCUAAAAAUAAGGAGAUUUUGCACAUAAUCAGAAUUUCUGUAUUUUCUUUAAAAGCUAGUACCAUCCCUUGGCACUGGGCCUGUGUCCCUAAGCAACAGGUGUGUGUGUCCUGGCUCAACAAGUCCCUAUCGCAUGGCGAUGGCUCUUGCUCAUUUCUUUUACCUGCUGGUCCUUCCUGGUGUUUUCAUUUGCUUCCUCUGCGUUAUUUGUUCAGAUCUAGAGAAGUAGCUAUAAGUCCAACAAACUUGUCUCUUGUUCUUACUGCUUCCCCCUACUGACCGUUGUCUCAUUUUGUUCUGUUAUCAGCUUAGCAAAGUCUCCAUCUUUUUAUUCUCUGAGGAGAAGUCCUCUUCCAUACCAUAUGCUUUGUCUUGGAGAGAAGAUAAAGGAGAUGAGGGAAGGUGGAAGUCCUGACUUACUGGCCUCUUAAGCCAAAUGAAGAAACCGGAGCUGGGUCUAUGGCUAUACCAUCCUGAACGCGCACAAUCGCAUCUGAUCUUGGAAGCUAAGCAGGGUCGGGCCCGAAGUGCAAAGGGUUUAACUCAGGAAGAAGCAGCACCAUGAAGUGAGCCAGACCUCAUUCACACCUUCCUGCUGUGGCUCCACUCACCCACUGCAGAGUCUACCAAUUCUUUCCUCAGACUUGGCAUAAAUUGGAGGGAAAGAUGUUUACCAGAAUGGAUGGAUGGCUGGAUAGAUGGAUAGAUGGAUAGACAAAUGGAUUAAUCUCAGGGAGUCUUGCAAUGUUCUUCCAUGUGUUUGUGGCAGAAAACACUUUGAUGUGUUUUUAGAAUGCUAUUUCUAAUACUUCAAGUUCAAAUAUCGAGGCUGAAAAAAACAAAGACAUUCUAUCUCCAAAAAGAAGGCAGUACAAUAGAGCUCAACAGCACGAGCUUUGGAGUCAUUCAGUCCUUAUUAACACCUCUGAAUUUCUGUUUCUUCAUGUAUAAAAUGAUGGUAAUAACAGUACCUUUCUCAAAGAUGGUUGCUAUUUGAAUUAACUAAAAUAACUUUUGGAUAAUAUCAGUAAUUUACUGCUUAUAAAAUAGGGAGCACUUGAGAAAUUAUAACUCUAACUCACUGAAAAGAUUUCUGUUGAGGUUAUUAUAGGCUUAGUUCUAUCAC